rnacentral:lncRNA from 1 species
CAUAACUUUCAUAAGUUUGUUUUACUUAUGAAAUUUACGGCAACGGCGUCAACAUGGCUGCAUCUCGAUACAGGAAGUUUCUUCGUUUGAUGGAAGAAUGGCCCGCAGAUCCGUCGAAAAGGGGUAGAGAUUUGGCGGUUACUAUUCGGGAAAGAGUGGCACAUGGUUUUAGAAGAGGUGAAAACUCUGAGAUAAAUGAGAAAGAGUGUGACAGGAUGUAUGACUCUCUCAACAAGAUCCAUACAGAUUUCUUCAGAGAAAAGUACCCACGGCUCAAAGAUUCAUCAGCUACAGGAACCUCCAUAGAGAUUUGCAAGAUGGUGAUGGCUACAGAUACCAUCACUGAAAUGGAGAAGAUGAAUAAGAGCACCUGGCAGAAGAUCAAAGAUUCAAUACCCUGGAGGUCAGCAGGGCCAGGGGACGACAAGAGCUGAGACAGACAGCAAUAGGUCAACCAAGGUCACCAGUUUCGUCCGCUGUGAAAAAGAUGAGAUGGGCAUUUACUAACCGAACUGCCGUUAUAUUAUAUGGAGGAAAGCAGACUUAGCCAUGGCCUCGUCUUGUGAACAAAAUUGUGAUUGAUCUGAAUCUCUUGCAACUCCACUUCAGUUCGAUGUCAGUCGCAAUGCUGUUCAUGAGCAAUUGUAACUUUGCAAUUGAUUUUAGGAUUUGCAAAAGAUUUGGAUUCAUUUUGACAUUUUUUUUCUGAUGGGGCUCAGGACUGUAUGUAAUAUUGACUUUUACCUGUGCUAUUGAACUAUAUUGAAUAUGUAUAAGCAACCAGGGGCCUUAUGGUUGUAUAUUGUGUGAUUAUUGUCUAGGAGCAGGAGCAAAUGUCCAUAUGGCUGAUCUUUUGAUCGAUUGAAUGAAAGAUGUUGGAUGGUGGAUCGAUCAUAACAUGCUCAGGAAUAGCAAGGAGGAUAUUGUCCUAUUGAUAUUGAAUGUCAUCAGGACUUGUUUAAUUUAGAUUUGAAACUGUUUUCCAUUCUGCCUCAUCCUGAAUGAAGCUUUGUCCCAACAGUGUUUCAAUCUGUAAACAAAAUAGUUUAACCGACUUAGUCAUGUUGAGGGAAAGAGGGAGGAGAGAGAGAGAGAGAGAGAGAGAGAGAUGGGAGGGGGAAAGGAGAGAGAGAGAGAUAGAGAGAUGGGAGGGGGAGAGAGAGAGAGAGAGAGAGAUAUGAGUGCAUUUUCAGUUUGUGCAAUCUCAUAAAUUUUUGAUAUGAUCAUGUGAUAUAUAGUAUUACUGAAAAAUUGCGAAGAAAUUUGAUUUAAUAUGAUUUUCCACUGUGCUUUGAGCCAUAGUAUUCUCAUAAUGUAUAAUGAAGAGUUUAAAUAAAAAACUGAAUUGAUAUGUCCGGGAAACUGCAUACAGAGAAACUUUGCUGCCAAUGUUUGGAUUUUUAAAAACUCUAUAGUUGCAUUUGUAGAAGUGUCAUUGUCUAGUGGAUAGGUCACUAGACUGUGGAUCACACGGUUUACAAUCGAGUCCUGACGCGGCACUAAUGUGGUUGGAUUGGCAUGUGUGCACCUGUAAAUGGCGCCUGGCCGGAAUACUUCCCAGGGAUCGGAGCUUGUGCACUGUCACGUGUGGGUUAGUAAUUUAAUCCAAUGAUCAAUAAUUACAAUGUAAAGCUGCUCUUAAA